rnacentral:rRNA from 1 species
CAGAGGUCCCGAGCGUUGUUCGGAUUCACUGGGCGUAAAGGGUGCGUAGGUGGUGAGGUAAGUCGGAUGUGAAAUCUCCGGGCUCAACCCGGAAAUGGCAUUGGAAACUACCUUGCUGGAGGAUUUGAGGGGGGAUUGGAAUACUUGGUGUAGCAGUGAAAUGCGUAGAUAUCAAGUGGAACACCAGUGGCGAAGGCGAAUCCCUGGAAAUACCUGACACUGAGGCACGAAAGCUAGGGGGAGCAAACAGGAUUGGAUACCCUGGUAGUCCUAGCCCUAAACGGUGCUUGCUUGCUGUAAGAGGAAUCGACCCCUCUUGUGGCGGAGCUAACGCGUUAAGCAAGCCGCCUGGGAAGUACGGUCGCAAGAUUA